rnacentral:rRNA from 1 species
GACGAACGCUGGCGGCGUGCCUAAUACAUGCAAGUUGAGCGCUGAAGGUUGGUACUUGUACCAACUGGAUGAGCAGCGAACGGGUGAGUAACGCGUGGGGAAUCUGCCUUUGAGCGGGGGACAACAUUUGGAAACGAAUGCUAAUACCGCAUAAAACUUUAAACACAAGUUUUAAGUUUGAAAGAUGCAAUUGCAUCACUCAAAGAUGAUCCCGCGUUGUAUUAGCUAGUUGGUGAGGUAAAGGCUCACCAAGGCGAUGAUACAUAGCCGACCUGAGAGGGUGAUCGGCCACAUUGGGACUGAGACACGGCCCAAACUCCUACGGGAGGCAGCAGUAGGGAAUCUUCGGCAAUGGACGAAAGUCUGACCGAGCAACGCCGCGUGAGUGAAGAAGGGUUUCGGAUCGUAAAACUCUGUUGGUAGAGAAGAACGUUGGUGAGAGUGGAAAGCUCAUCAAGUGACGGUAACUACCCAGAAAGGGACGGCUAACUACGUG